AUGGGGCCAGGGACCUCGAGAUGAGUCUUGGGGACCCCAAGGGUGGCCCUGUGGGGCCUGAGGACCUCACGAUGGGGCUGGAGACCCCCAAGGGUGCUCCUAUGGGGCCAGGGGACCCCCAGGGCACUGGAGACCACCCACCACGGCACAGAGAGCCGGACGCCACAGAGCAGCACUGCUUUAUUGCUCGCCCCGAUCCGGGAUCCCAAACUGGGGUGGGUUCAACCCAACUGGGGCGGGAUCAACCCAACCGGAGUGGGAUCAACCCAACCGGAGUGGGAUCAACCCAACUGGGGGGGAUCAACCCAACCACAGUGAGAUCAACACAACUGGGGCAGGAUCAACCCAACUGGGGUAGGAUCAUCCAAUCGGGAGAGGGAACAACCCAACCGGUGCAGGAUCAACCCAACCGGUACGGGAUCAUCCCAACCAGGGUGGGAUCAACCCAACUGGGUGGGAUCAACCCAACCAGGGUGGGAUCAACCCAAUCGGAACAAGAUCAACCCAAGCAGAGCGGGAACAUCCCAACCAGGGUGGGAUCAUCCUAACCAGGGUGGGAUCAACAUAACAGGUGGGAUCAACCCAACCGGAGUGGGAUCAACACAAUGGGUGGGAUGAACCGGGGCAGGAUCAACACAACUAGGGAAGGAUCAUCCAAUCGGGAGAGGGAACAACCCAACCAGGGUGGGAUCAACCCAA
rnacentral:lncRNA from 1 species